rnacentral:lncRNA from 1 species
GCCUUCAGAAACUGCUUAGGAAAAGCAAAUAUUCCUUAGCCUCAGAGUAAAUUGUUUCUCUUGAGAAUAAAACAUAAGAAUUCACUAAUCUCACACAAAUAUUGCAACACUGACCACUACCUCCUUAAAGAGUAUAACCAAACAACUGUGGUUUCUACAUUAAAGAUGGGAUCUAACAUAUUUCAUGUAUGACAUGAAAGCUAGACUACCUUCACCACAAAGCCACGGAAAAUGCUGACAACCAGAAUUUAUGACUCCC